UAAAGCAGUAUUAUUUAGAUUAUUUAAAAUCAGACUAUAGUUGAGUUAGCUGAUUCAACUUUAGGUUAUAUGCAUACAGAAGAAUCUAGAAAAAAAAAUGAGGGAUUUUAUUUUUAGCGAAGAAGUUUUAAAUAGAUUAUCAACUAAUAAUGCUACAGGAGCAAGAAGUAUUAAAAAUAUAGUUCAAAAUAUUGAAACUGGAGAGAAAUUUGAGUAUAAAAGUUUGAGUGAAGCAGGUAAAGCUUUAAAUGUAUCUAAAACGGUUGUUAGUCAAGUACUAAUAAACAAUAGAUUAUAAAAAAAAAUAUUUUCUAUUAUAAAAAAAUCAUAAAAACUAUAUUAUCUGUUAAAUGGAUAGUUUAAGAUAUAUUCUUUGUUAAAGAUUGAUAUAUCUGCUAUUUAGGGGGAAAAGUCUCAGCUCUGCCUAAUAAAAAGGCUAAAGAGAUAAACUGUAUCGUUGUAGAGAUAUCCGAUGAAUUGUGGUAAGUUGGUGAAAGACAAAACUGACUAGUAUAGCUGGUUUUCCGCGAAACCUAUGUGAGUAGGUAAUUUAAUUAACAUCUUAGCAGGUACAGAACUAGGAUCUCGGACAAUAUGUAAAUUUUGUGCACAUCGGGGGAUCGUGAUGAUUUUAUCGGAGAGUAUUUGCACUCGAAAGGGCAAAGAUGAAUAUUGAAUAAUCGGACAUAGUACGAUAAGGUUGUAUGUCUAAAGGGAAACAGCCCUGAACAAGAGUUAUAAGGUUCCAAAAUUAUUAUUAAGUGAAAUUAAGGAUGUACUUAUCAAAUACAACCAGGAAAUAGGCUUAGAAGCGGCCAUUUUUUGAAGACCUCGUAACAGAGCACUGGUUAAUAAAAAAAAUUUUUUUUUAGAUAGAUAUGUAUACCGAAAAUUUAACGGAUCUAAAUAAUAUACCGAAACCUUGUUCGUAUAUAUUAAUAUAGAAUAUUAUUUACUAGUUUAAAUAUAUAUAUAUAGGUAUAUAUGAGGUAGCGGAACAUUGGAUAAAUAUUAGAUUUUUUCUUUUUUAAGAUAAAAAAAUAUAUAAUAAUCCAAGAGAGAAUGCUGGCAUGAGUAACGAAAAAGGAUUUAACAUCCUCGCCUUAAGCUUAUGGUAUUUUAAUUAAAUUUCGGUGUCUAAGUAGGAAGAUAAAAAGUAAAACUAAGGUAUGUAGGAAGACAAAAUAAUAAAAUAAUAAAAAAGCAAAGUGUUAAAUUAGUUUGAAAACUUCUCCUAAUGGAUUUUUACGAUGAUAUAUUGAUUAGAGAAAAAAAACCUUUAUAAAGUGUUAAAGGUUCUGGAAAUUAAAUAUAAUCUAGGUAGAGGGUACCUACAAAACUCUAUUGAAAAUAAUAUAAGACCGUACCUAAAUACUAACACAAGUAAGCAAGUAGAGUAUACAAAGGCGUUUGAGCGAACAAUCCUUAAGGAACUCGGCAAAUUGACUCCGUAACUUCGGGAUAAGGAGAGCCGUUAUUAUAGAAAAAAUUUUUUUUUUUCUGUCAAAUAAGAGGAAACAUAAAAUAAUGUUGUACGACUGUUUAAUUAAAACAAAUCACUCUGCAAAGAUUAAAAAUCAAAGUAUUGAGUGUGAGGUCUGCCCAAUGUCGGUUGUAUAACUGAGAUGCUUAAUUUAAAAGGUUAAGUUUUGAAGGACACCCCGAUCAAUGGCGGUCUUAUCUAUAAGGAUCCUAAGGUAGCGGAAUACCUUGGCCGUUAAAUGCGGUCUUGCAUGAAUGACUUAACGAUACAACAGCUGUCUCGAGGAUUGGCUCAGUGAAAUUGACUGUUACCUUUUAUGUUUAUAAUAAGUUAAUUUUCAGUGAAUAAGGUAAUUGAUAGAUAGAAUUGAAACACCUUUAUUUAAACUAUUAUAUUCUUUAUGACUGGAAGACAGUUUAUGCGGGGCACAGAUCCCAUAAAAAGUACCUGGGUAUAUCCAAAGUUAAUAAUGUAAGUUUGUAAAUUUUAAUUUACAGUAAUAAUGUAUUUAUAUUUAUAAAUUAUUAUUAUUUAGUUUGUUAUUAAUUAUGUUUUAUAUUUAUUCAGUUAUUAUUGUAUUAAAUUCGAAUUUUAUAAAAUUUAAGUAAGAUUUUAACUAUAUGGUAAAUAGAUGUAUAUUAAAUAUUAAUAAAUUAAGUUUUAUUAGUAUUUUAUUUAUAUUAAUAUUGUAUAUAUAAAUCCUUAUUAAUAUGAUAAUUAUUUAUACUUUAAAAGUUUAAUGGCUAAAUCUUGCUUUACUGUUUGACUUACAAGUCUAUCAGUCGCGUAAGCGGGGCAUAUGAUCACAAGAUGCAAAAAGGAAAGGUCUUGGAUUAAAGAAAAAGUUACGCAACAGGCUAAUUUGCGCAAGAGAGUACAAAUUGAGUGCGCGGUUUGGCACCUCGAUGUCGGCUUAGCUCAUCCACAUGAAUGCAGAAAUCAUGAAGGGUACGACUGUUCGUCGGUUAAAGAGCUACACGAGCUGGGUUUAUUAUUAAAUUAGAGUCUAAUAUAGAUAGCCCCUUCGUACGAAAGGAGUUGGGUAUGCUGAUCUAUGGUUUACCUGUUGUUUAAUUUUGAUAUUAUAUAUAUAUAUAUAUAUAUCCUAGACUAUUUUCACUUAAGUAGUAUUGUUUAUUAAGCAUGGCAGGAAAGCUAAGUCAGUUAGAGAUAAGUGCUGAAUGCAUUUAAGCGCGAAGCUUACUAUACUAUACUCUUAUAAACGUAGUAGAACACUACGAAGUAUUUUUUAUUACAUAGGCUUUAGUUGUAAGAAUCUUAAUUGUUUUGAGGCAUAAAGUACUAAUUAACUAA
rnacentral:rRNA from 1 species